CUGAAGUCCUUGAAACUGUUGAACUAGAUCAAAUAAAAGAUGUCUUAGUGGGGUCACCACAGAAAAAUGGAUUGUCCAUGGAGCAGAGAAAGAGGCUAACGAUUGCAGUCGAGCUUGUUUCAAACCCAUCAAUCAUACUAAUGGAUGAACCAACAACAGGUUUAGAUACAAGGUCAGCAGCCAUUGUUAUUCGUGCAGUCAAAAAUAUUUGUGAAACAGGAAGGACGGUAGUCUGUACAAUCCAUCAGCCGAGCACUGAAAUUUUUGAGGCAUUUGAUGAGGUAAUUUAACUUUCCAAAUAUAUUAGUAUAUUAAACACAAUCAACACAAAUAAAUUUUUAUUAUAUAUAUCAAGCACGAUCAACACAAUUUAUUUUUUCUGGAAACAUCAAAUAUGUCUAGUUUCAAAACUAUUGGGAUUAAAUAAAGCUCUUGCCUUCAGCAGAGCUGGGCUAAGCUUAAGAUGCACUACCUCUGUAACCAAAUAUAAGACGUUUUUGCAGUUCAAAUUGAACUGCAAAAACGUCUUAUAUUUAGUUACAGAUGUAGUACAUUAUUAGUUACCCAAAAUUUAAAACACAUGUCUUUUGUUCAUGCCUUUCUAGUAAAUAAUAAUGAUAGGAAAUAAUAGGAUCAAAAUUUGCAAUAUAAGCCUGUCAAGAUUUCACUUUGCACAACCUAGACUUCAAAUUGCACUUUUGUCCCCUCAAAUGAUCAAUUAUGUGCAACAAAACCCUUCAACUUAAACUUUGCUUAUAUGAAACCUUCUCUUAUUUGGUUUUGUUAGAUCCAGCAUUUUAUACUGAAAAUACCUAAUCAGACCCCUUUGAAUAAUAUAUCUAUGAAUAAACAUUGAUUUGAGCUAAGUAGGAUUGGUAUCUAAAUUAUAGUAAGACGCUUAACAACUACUCCCUAAAAAGGGCAGCCCGGUGCAUGUAGCUCCCGCUUGCGCAGGGUCCGGGGAAGGGUCCGACCACUUUGGGUCUAUAGUACGCAGCCUUUCCCUACAUUUCUGUAAGAGGCUGUUUCCAGGACUUGAACCCGUGACCUCUUGGUCACAAGGCAGCAGCUUUACCACUGCGCCAAGGCUCCCCUUCGCUUAACAACUACUCCCUCCGUUCCUAAAUGUAAGUCUUUGUAGAGAUUCCACUAUGAACCACAUACGGAUGUAUAUAGAUGCAUUUUAAGUUUAGAUUCAUUCAUUUUGCUCCGUAUGUAGUCCACCUGAUGAAAUCCCUACAAAGACUUGUAUUUAAGAACGGAGGGAGUAUUUGCUACUCCCUCUGUCUCAAAAUGUAAGACAUUUUUUGACCCUUUGAAUAAUAGAGAUAUAAACAUUGAUUUGAGCUAAGUAGGAUUGGAUCUAAAUUAUAGUAAGAUGCUUAACAACUACUCCCUCCGUCCCAAAAUAAGUGUCUCAACUUUGUACUGACACUUAUUUUGAGACGGAGGGAGUAUUUACUACUCCCUAAGGCAGCCCUGCGCAGGUUCCGUGAAAGGGUCCGACCACUUUGGAUCUAUAGUACGCAGCCUUUCCCUACAUUUCUGUAAGAGGCUGUUUCCAGGACUUGAACCAAGGCAGCAGCUUUACCACUGCGCCAAGGCUCCCCUUCGGAGUAUUUACUACUCCCUCUGUGUAAAAAUAUAAGACGCUUUUUGACAUNNNNNNNNNNCUCCGUAUGUAGUCCACCUGAUGAAAUCCCUACAAAGACUUGUAUUUAAGAACGGAGGGAGUAUUUGCUACUCCCUCUGUCUCAAAAUGUAAGACAUUUUUUGACCCUUUGAAUAAUAGAGAUAUAAACAUUGAUUUGAGCUAAGUAGGAUUGGAUCUAAAUUAUAGUAAGAUGCUUAACAACUACUCCCUAAGGCAGCCCUGCGCAGGUUCCGUGAAAGGGUCCGACCACUUUGGAUCUAUAGUACGCAGCCUUUCCCUACAUUUCUGUAAGAGGCUGUUUCCAGGACUUGAACCAAGGCAGCAGCUUUACCACUGCGCCAAGGCUCCCCUUCGGAGUAUUUACUACUCCCUCUGUGUAAAAAUAUAAGACGCUUUUUGACAUUAUCAUAGUGUCAAAAAACGCCUUACAUUUUGUGACAGAGGGAGCAUCUACCAUCAAUUUUCUGUUUCGGGAGAACUUUUCUUACCUUAAACAUUUGGACUUUGGGUAUAAAAACAACCCCACUAUAUCAGUCCGCAUGAAGAAUAAAGUAUAAACAUACAAUGACAUGUUUUGAUCUCUUAAUUAUUUGAACGUCUAUGUGUUCAAUGUCAGUUAAUUUUUAUCUCUUAUUUGAACUAAGUGUCCACACUGACACAAAUUUGUCAUCGCAUCGCCAAAAUUUGGACUUACUGGGCUUGAAUACAGAACUAAAACAAUUUUGAGGGCUUAUACUGCAAAGUCACCGAAUAGAAUAUUUUUUGGUUUCCUGAAUGUGCAAAAGCAAACCAUUUCUAUCAGAAACAUUCCUAUAAUGAAUUCCUUAGCCCAAAGUCGUAUCUCUUUGAUUAAUAAAAUGAGUAGGCCCAAAUAAUUCGACUGGGGUCGUUGCUGACCCAUACCACAUAGCUGUAGGUGGUUCCAAGGGUUGGGUUGUUCGCCCAUUAAUACGGUACGUGAGCGGAAAUAGUGUAACAAAUAGAAAUUGGUAUAGUAUAGGAAAUCCGUAAAAUCUCAGAUCUAUAUGUUUAUCACAAAUCGACGUGACUACGGACAGUUUAUAUUUGCUACUUCUCUGUUUAUACAAUAACAAAAGGGUAUAUAUUUUCUUUAUUACAGGGCUAGUUGUAGUCAAAAGUUGCCUAUAAUGCAUGUGGUAAAUUUUCUUGCAGCUCAUAUUAAUGAAAACCGGUGGGAAAACAAUCUACAAUGGACCAAUAGGAGAGCGCUCCUGCAAAGUGAUUGAGUACUUUGAGGCAAGUUUCUUGAACAUAUUUCCACAAAUGUAUCUGCCUUUUCUUGAUUAUUCAUUUUCCCUGUUUUUUCUGGAAUUGGGACAUUAAACGUGAGAGUUCCAAAGUUACAAACCCCAAAACCAGUGCUCAAAUGUUCAACAUGCCAUGGCCAAAACACUUAAGUCAACUAUAGCAGUCAUUUGUGUUCAAUAUGUAACUUGGCUAACAAUUCACAUGAAAUAUAUAGGUUAAUCAAAAUUUUGAUGUGAUCAUAUGCAUUUCACAUGUUGAACUUAAAAGCAAAUGUGAUAAUAAACGUGCAGAUUGGCAAGGGAAACUAAAAACAUACUGAAGAACUUUGUUUGCAUAUCUAUGUAUGUGUUUCGGUGUUUUCAGAGAGGAAGCACGGUUGUGGCAUGGCUCUGCCAUAUUUGUGACAUGUGUCCUUUGAUUCUAAUAGAUUGAUUUUUGCUUGUCCACUUGAUAGAAAAUUUCUGGAGUCCCAAAAAUAAAGAGUAACUGCAAUCCAGCUACCUGGAUGAUGGAUGUAACAUCGACAUCAAUGGAGGUUCAACACAACAUGGACUUUGCAAUUUUGUAUGAAGAGUCGUCACUGCAUAGGUACAUAUCUUGUGGAUUUAGUUAGAAUAUCGAGCAAAAGACAACAUAUAUGAAUAGCUUAAGCAAAAUAAAAUUCAUCUACUCCCUCUGCUCACUUUUAUAAGGCUUUGUAGAUAUUUCAGACAUUGUGCAAAACAGCUUAAUUUUACUUGUCUGAAACGACUUAUAAAAGUGAACGGAGGGAGUAGCAAAAAUUUUAGCCAAACAAAAUACCUCCAUUUGAAGUUUCGAAGAAUUAAAGUUACUUUUCUGCAGAGAAGCUGAAGAUCUAGUGGAGCAGCUAAGUAUCCCAUUACCAAAUUCAGAAAAUCUACGCUUCUCCCAUAGUUUUGCACAGAAUGGCUGGAUUCAACUUAAAGCUUGCUUGUGGAAACAAAACAUAACUUACUGGAGAAGUCCUCAGUAUAACUUGAGGCGCAUUAUGAUGACUGUCAUAUCUGCCCUGAUCUACGGAGUAUUGUUCUGGAAGCAUGCAAAAGUAUUGUAAGUCCACUACUUUGUUAUCCACAACAUUGCACAUCAGUUGACUUCACAGACUCAUUGCAAAAUUAUUCUAACUUUCUCUUAUCUCUUCUAAGAAACAACGAGCAGGACAUGCUCAGUGUUUUUGGUGCAAUGUAUUUGGGUUUCACAACCAUAGGCGCUUAUAAUGAUCAGACAAUCAUACCAUUCAGUACGACUGAGCGUAUUGUAAUGUAUCGUGAGAAAUUUGCAGGAAUGUAUUCAUCUUGGUCAUAUUCAUUCGCACAGGUCAGAAAAUGAUCACAAGCUUGUAAGAGAAGUAAAAUAUACAUUGACGCUGAUGCUCAUAUUUAUUCACCUUUUACAGGCUUUCAUUGAGAUACCCUAUGUAUUUAUCCAAGUGGUACUGUAUACGUUAAUUGUCUAUCCGUCAACUGGUUAUUAUUGGACAGCACACAAAUUCCUAUGGUUCUUCUACACUACAUUUUGUUCAAUUCUCUCCUAUGUUUAUGUUGGGUUGCUUCUUGUUUCAAUAACCCCCAAUGUUCAAGUAGCUACCAUACUGGCUUCAUUUUUCAACACCAUGCAAACACUAUUCUCAGGAUUUAUUUUACCUGCACCUGUAAGUCUUUAUCUCCUCCCAAUAUCGUAAACUUUUAGACUCUCCAAGAUGUAACUGGCACUUCUUUUUGUUAGCAAAAAUAUGGCUGCCCACCUUGAAUAUAUACCAACUAAUAAAAUAACAACCUAAAUGAGAAAUUGUAAUUGACGAGAUUUUGUAGUGUAAUUAAGUAAUAAUAUUAUGGAACUAAUAAAGGUCUAAUAGGGCAUUAUGGGCUUUUGGGCUUUACUUUAUUCCAGAGUUCAUGUUCGUGUAGAAGUCUCCUAUUCCCCCGCAAAAAAAAAGAAGUCUCCUAUUGUACUAGAUCUAGGUUACCCUUAUAGGCAUCCUAUUAAUGCAUUCUGCCUUACAAAGGUAUCAAAUUAGGUUUUAGGGUUUUUAUCCUGGUAAACAUUUCUUUAUCUUUUUUUUGUCAAUAUUCACCUUUGCAACUUCCCCACCAUGACACCUUUUUUUCCUUCUGCCCCAGAUCCUCAAUUUUACUGAUUGCUUAAUUUUUGUGGUCGAUCAACCGAUCUAUCCUCCUGAUAGAUCUUAGUUUUGGGAAUAUUUAAGUAGUAAUAUGUCAAAACAAUACAAGGACCAACCGCAACUAUAAGGCAUCACUGGAUGACGAUACACAGAACCACUCCAAUGUUAGUUUAACAUCAUAAUAGUUACAGACAUACCAUCUUCAGUUUCAUCAUUAAUACUUUCAUUUCUAUUUUCUAUGUUGGAAAUUGAUAAUUAUUCCAGCAUUGUUCAAUAGAAUAAUCAUGUUCUGUUCAAUUGUUAGGGAAGAAUCCUGAAUAGAGGAAAGCACUAAUAUGCAUUUUCAAUUCACGUUGCAGCAAAUCCCAAAGUGGUGGACUUGGCUCUACUAUCUCACUCCUACAUCUUGGGCACUCAAUGCCCUCUUGACAUCACAAUACGGAAACAUAGAAAAAGAGGUGAAAGCAUUUGGAGAAACUAAAUCAGUUUCAAUCUUCUUGAAUGACUAUUUUGGGUUUCAUCAAGACAAGUUGAGCAUAGUAGCAACUGUCCUCGUUGCCUUUCCUUUUGUGUUGAUAAUCUUGUUUUCGUUGUCCAUUGAGAAACUUAAUUUCCAGAAGAGGUAAGCAAGUUCUGACAUUCCAACAGACAUGAAUCUGUACAUGUUAAGAGAUAUAGCUACUUGCCUUUUUUCCAACUGCGAAAUGCAGAAUCAGAGCUGAUUGGGUGGCUAUUUUUCUCAAAUCUGAUGGGUAAACCUCGUGAAUAAGUAAUUGUGUACAAUAACUUGAUUGUGCUAAGUAUGAUUGUGAGUUGUAAUCUUUUUGUUUCACCGUUCAGAAGAAUUUGAUGGUUACAAUUCAUGUAACCUGCUUUGAAGAGGAUUUUGCAAUUGUGUUAUGCCUUAGAUUACUGAAUGCAUCAACAGGAAAAUGAGAACCUAACUGAAUGAACCGACGAUUCAAAGCGGGCCUAAGCACAGAUAACAAAAAGCUAACUUGGAUUCCCGCACCGUCAUCAUCAUGCCUUAGUAUCCGCGCAAGGUGUGUGAGUGGUGGGUGGUUUCUAAAGAGAAACUUGGCCACACAUCACGGCGCGCGGGGCGCCAUUUGGAUUUCCUUUGAGCUAUAUAAAACGGGAACAGCAGCAUGGAAUGGUACACUUCUCUCACUUUCGCCCAUCUUCGUCUUGCUCGUGUGCUCACUCCGCCUUUGCAAACAAAGCUGCUCGCAUCAAGCUUUUCUCCCCUCCCUCUAUUAGACAAGUUGAAGCCAGACACACCCGAUGGCGCGCAGAGGUUCAAGCCGAAGGAGAGGAGGCAGCGCAACCACCAAGGGUGCUACCAGCAAGAAGGGUGCCACUAGCAAGGGCGCCGCCAACGACACAAAAGGGAAAUGGGUCACUUCGUCGGCGACAUAACAUCGUCGACACAGGAUCAACUGACAAAGCUCGCCGACUACUGCUUCUUCCUGAAGCAAAUGGAAGUUCACUAGUGUUCACCGCUGCGGGAGCAGAUCGUGCCAGCGCCAAGCCCGGACGACCGGGUAUUCCUAGCCCCUUUCUUGGUGUGAGGCUUCUCUUUGCCUCUCCAUGAGUUUUUUCAUGGGUAGCUUUUCUUCUACGAGGCCAAUAAUAUGUCACAUCACGUGACAUUGGUCGCAAAUCAAACUGGCAAGAGGAGUCGAUACCGCGAAAGUCCCAUGUAGGAGAUGCUCCAGCAAUCCCAUGCCUUCGAUGCAAGUGAUUGCCAUUAGUAAAUCUGGGAAUGGCUAAUGGCCCCCACAAUACACCACUAGUUGCCACAACACAGCUAGGGCUGCAGUAAGCCGCCACAAACUCCGGUGAACAUGCAUGAUCUGCCAGCCAGCAUCGUCGGCACUGCAACCGUGCACCACCGCAGCCAUGCCGCAACAUAGCGAUGAUCACCGCCACCCGCCAUCACGCAAGCAACCAGUGAAAUCACAACCAACCACGGACUCGCCAACCAGGCCAAGCUCCAAUAUAAUGCCCACAAGGAGGAACAUAGACGCCGAGCACCGCCAUCAUUCGAUCUGGGCAAACCGGAACCUAGGGUUUCCGCUAAAGCAUUCUGAGAGAGGAGCCAAGGACUGCAUCUAGACACCUUCAGCAAGGGAACGACAUCCGCAGGCGCCACCGUCAUUGGCUUCGACCGAGCGAAGCCUAGCUUUCGCGGACAGACCCAUCCCUCCUUCCCCAAAUCGAACCUAGCCACCUACCAUGCCCACCACUGCCGCCAACAUGACCACUAGUGAAGGAGACCACCAAGUCCACAGACCCCUAGGCCUAUGGCGUCCAGAUAUAAAGCCAAGAUUCAUGGCUAAGGUGCCGCAUGCCUUGUUGCAAGAGAAGAGCAUGCCAUGCCCCAACAUCGGCGGGAUCCGCUGUCGAGGAAGAGUCGUCGUUCCACUAAUCCACGACAAGCUGUUGCACCGCAAAGAAGGUGGUCGCGACCACGAUGAUGCGUCACAUGGACCUCUGUACCGAGAGGCGCCAUCAUUGACGGGGGAAAGGGUCGUCCUUCCAAUGGACCUGAUGGAAAAACGUCAUGCGAGGAGCCCUGUCAGUGUCCUCCGACAAUGGUGAGAAGGUAUGGGACGUGGAGGGCUGCUGUUAGGUGGUUUCGCCCAUGACGCCUGGAAGAUCACACGAGGGUUGGGGAUUGCUGGAAGGCAAUGCAGGGGACAAUACAAUUAUAACACAUUAGUUCAAAAAAUCGGCUAUGAGUUGAUUGGCACAAAAGAAAUUAUUCUUGGCAUCGAGUCUCAUGGUGGAUGUAGUUGUUAGGCAUAUCAACAUGAGUUGUCGAUAGUACGUCAGUACGUCCCCUAGAGCUUUGUGCGGGGGGCUUUUGGGGGGAAAUGGCAGCAAAGGGGGCGCGGGAGAGUUUGCUUUCUGUCACCGACAGGCGGGCCAGGGGCGGACAAGCGUGUGCGUCCCGCCCGUCCGCGCAAUGUCCGUUUCACCCCAAAAUCGGCACAAACUUGGGCCGGGAAUGGGUCGAAAGCGGACACAAAACGGACAAAAGUCCGUUUGCUCCCGCGCGUUGGGUCGCCCGAUUUGUCCCUUUUACCCCAAACGGACGGGGCCGGAUAGGAUGGGGUCGUGCGGUGGAGUUGGCCUAAGAGCAUCUCCAACGGAUGACAUAUAAUAAUAGGGCACUAAAGAGUAGGUUUUAAGGCACCAAAAAAGAUUCUACCAUAGCAGACGAUGUAAAAUAGGUCACCGGAAAAAUUUCUGCCAUAGUAGGGCAACAUUAUUGCAUAUUUCGACAUUUUCAAACUUCUAACUGUUCAAAGUUAAACUAACAGUACUAAGAUAGAUACAAUAUUCAUCAUCACUACUACGAUAGAGGUCUCAAGUCAAUAUCGUCGGCUUUGUCGUCGUCCAACUCAAGCUUGAUCACCCGUGAGGGGCCAGCCUCAUCCUCCUCCUUGAGAACCUUCUUGCAUUGCACAUCCCUACUGGCAAAGAAUUCAUAUUCCACCUGCACAAGGUGCGGAUUUUCCACGGCGAACCUCGCCAUAGCCACCACAUCACUCUCAUGGGCGGUCUGCUGCACCAUGAUGAGGCAGCCAUCUUCUCCUCGUGAAACACAAUCCCCAAUUCAGGAGCGAUGAACUCCGCCACCUCUCGCUCAUGACUCGGGAAAGUGUGCUCCGACUUUGGCCAGCGGCCACGGCGUCAUACAUGCGCGCAGCGAGCUUUGUUGUCUUGAAGGUCCUGAGCCAGUGUUGCAUCCCAUCGCACAAGAUAUCGACAGCGUAGCCAUGGGACUACAAACCCAAACGCAGUGGAAGACCAUGCUGCUCCUCGGCUUGGCGUCGCGGCGCAACAUCUUCAGCUCGGCGAUGGCGGUGGUCGACGGCUGAGACGAAUGAGGGUGGUGGAUCUGGCGGCAGUGGCGGCCAAAUGGCGUGGUGUGGCGGAUGAUUUGGAGAACGUGGUGGUGCAGCAGCCGAUUCGACAAAAGGGGUGGUGGUUCCGGUGGCGGUGGUGGCUGUAUUCGAUAGCGUCGUCGGCAAGGCAGAGGAAGCGGCUAGGGGGGUUCACGCGGCGGUCGAGCUAAGCGCGGCUGAGGUUUUUGUUUUGCGGCAACUGCGCAAUUGUUGUAUAUUUCGAGAACAAGAGGACUGCCCCAAAAAAUUCCAGCACAAUAUAGGGAUAGGGCAUCUGCUGGAGCACCAUUUUGGGUCCAAAUGCCAUAAAACGGUUUUUUAGGCAGUUGCCCCAUUUUGCAUCAUCUGGUAGAGAUGCUCUAAGAGUUUUCAACCUUUUAUGGGCUUCUCUUGUUCUAUGUUUUACGCAUGCUUUUUACCUAUGUUUAUGUUCAUAACAUGGUUAGAUCUAUUUAACCCCCUAAACUAUACAGUAAUAAACAUUUUUUCCCGGAUCUUUUGUUCGGACAAUUAACACCCCUACAGGCUUAUACGUGAAACGGUUUGGUUGAGGCCCUAACGACGCCACAUGGGCUUGUUUUGUUGAUGUAGACAUGAUUAAAGACAAGACUCAAAUUGUACAUCUCUCCUUUUCUUUCAUGAUGUUGCCCAAUGAUUUAAUAUACAGUCACACGAGAUAAGCGACCGCCUGUACUAAAAAGAAACGGACUGCGCUAUUUCUCCCAAUUGCCCAAACCCUCGAUGCAAGGUUUUCCUUCUCCAAAUCAUGAACUUGGCCAUAGUAAACGCAAACUCAAGCUCUUCCGCUAGGGAUAUAAAUGGCCCAAAUAAUGUGUCCCUUUCUACACUAGAUAAUGCCCUAAUGCCCCAUUUAUCAAUGCAAGUGUUAUUCAUAACAUGGUGCCCACAGCAUCUUUUGAGUUUUUCUAAGGUUUCUUUUUGGAUCAUCGAACAUUUAGGGCAAAUUCUUUUAUGGGAGAAUUUAAAAUUUCUAUCUAGAAAGAAGCAUAAAUGAUCAUACGAAGGAAUCUUAGCCUCCCUGCCGCUAGCAAAAAAGUGCACACGUACACCGUCAUUUUCACCUGCAACCAGGGGUGGCGAUGGCAGUGAUGCACCCCACACCCCGCUUUCCCCCUCUCCUCCCUUCCACCCUCUCCUUGGAUGGAUGCCCCCAUCCUACGACAUCGAUCUACGUCGCGUGGCCUUGGCUCCGGCGGUUGAUGCCUCACAUGGGCUCCGGUGUGGGGUUGGGUGUGGAGCCUACUCGUCAAACCACGACCUCUCUCAUCAUAGUCCAACAUAGGUUGGACGCACUCCGACUCUCCGCUCAACCUCCCGCUCUGAGGCCCACGGCGUGUUGCAGCUAUCCAUGCCAUCCUCUCCACCUUCGGCUUAGGGUGGCCCUGAACCCCUGAAUCAAGGUUGCGAGUGCUUCAGGCUUGGCUCCUCGGCAUGUCAGGAUGGAUCUAAUACAUGCUUCGAGAGAAAACCCUGUUGACCUAUGUAUGAGCCAACCACCGUAGCGUCAACCCAUAUACCUCCAUGGAGUGGUCUUCAAGAUGUGCAGCGUGGAUUUGCUCUACCAAGGCUACCCCUUGGUGCUAUGGAGUGUCUUGGUGGUGCGUUUGGGUCUGAAUCGUGGUGUGUGCUCCUGGAAAACACUGUGCUCGAUCUCAUUUCAGGCAACCAUGGCGGUGCUUUCUAGCAUUGUAACACUCCUGGGAGGCGUGGUCUUGGAGAUACAACUCCUCGGUGUGUGCUCCAGGCCAAAGCUCAAUGAUGACAUCCUUUGUGGACGUUGUUCCCCUUCUUGAAGGCUUCAUCUUGUUGGCCCUGCCCUUGCCAUGUCAUGGGUUCUCAUACCAUGUUGGUGGCUAUAAUUGUGGUCCAGUGGUACACUUUGGUGUCACCCGUGCCACCAUCCGUACACUCCCCCUAUCCAUCAUCUGGUGCCUUCAAAGUUGACACUUCGUUGUUGUGCAAUCUCAAAUCUCUCCCAUGGUGAAUAGUUUGUUGCCUUGAGCUUCAUGUUCUCUAUGUGGUAGCGACCCCACCUUGCAAGUUGUUCCGGUUGUCGCAUGUGGGGGAGCUCCAGUCAAGGUUCAUGCCUAUCGGUGGUCUCACAGCUUGUAUUGAUCCAGUAUCAUGCCCAUGUAGCAAAACUUGUAGUCAUAUCAAUGGCACUCAUUGAUUGUGUUUGCUCCUACAUCACAUUGUGGGGAUACUUGCAAGGUCUUGGUAUUGUGAUACCCUUCGACAGCGCCCUACAUCUAUUUGUGACUCGUGGUGGUGACCUUUGCAUGCGCCAGCUGGACUAUGCCUUGUCAUGGGCACCCAUUCCACUCUUCUUUUUUUUCCUUUGUUGCUUAUGCGGUUUUCGAUCCACUUUCUGUUAUAAACUGAAUCCCAAUUAAGAAUGUACUUACUUUUCACGAGUACAAAAUAACAAGCCUCGCAUCUGAAUUGCGAAUCAUGGGUUUGCUCGUACACUUCAUUUUCUAUAAACUGCACAGUUGCGGCCUCUUUGAUUUGCAGAAUUGUAAAAAUGCAGAAAUAGCAAAAACACAGGAUUGGAAUGUCAUGCCCAUUUGAAUCCUACAGGAUUUGAGUUUGUAUGGUUGCAUCUCAGGAAAAACAAAUGAUAUUUUUCAAGAGAUUGGAUUGGACGCUGGAUAGAUUUUCUGUGGAAUGUAGUUGGAGUGGAUGCUAGAUAGAUUUUCUAUGGAAUGUAGGAAAAAUCCCAAUAGGAUUCAAUACUACGAAUGAAACCACCGGCAUAUGAAAAAUUUGAAGGAUUGUAAUCCACCGAAAAUCCUAUGAAAAUCAUUUGAAUCGAAGAGGCACUGAAGCAACAAUAUAAGGUACCUUCUGAAAUAAUUAAUACCUAGCAAACAAUAUAAGGCUAAAUGGCCCUGGCGUACCUGACUGGUCCUCCUUCCACCCUUUUGCUUCCCGUCCUCUCCAAAUGCCCCAUGGUCGGUCUUCUUGGUCUGGCCGCGGUGGACAGGCAGCACCGGCCGGAUCUGGGAGGCAGACGGGCCGCUGCGGAGAAUGGGGACGGCCACCGCUGCUUGUCGGGCAGGGACGGCGAGAUCACAGGGCGUCAGAUCCAGACCUCCUUCACGCAGCCGUGCUUCCCCGUCUGAAUCAGACAGUGAGAAGGGGAGGGCGCAGGGCAAGAGGCAGCGGCGCUGGGAGGGAGCUCUGGAGGCACGAGAUUGGGGAUCACCGAUGCAAGAGGCGGCGGCGCCGGGAGGGAGCUCCGGGGGCACGAGAUUGGGGAUCCCCGAUUCAUGGUGGAGGACUGGAGGUCAGCAAG
rnacentral:lncRNA from 1 species